UUCUGCUUGAGUAAGAAAUAUAGUGAUAAAUAAGUUUUGAUUACAAUAUUAAGAGAUUAAGGGGAGUGUAUAUCUAGGUGAUUAUAUAU